rnacentral:rRNA from 1 species
CACUCCUGCGGGAGGCAGCAGUGGGGAAUAUUGGACAAUGGGCGCAAGCCUGAUCCAGCCAUGCCGCGUGAGUGAUGAAGGCCCUAGGGUUGUAAAGCUCUUUCACCGGUGAAGAUAAUGACGGUAACCGGAGAAGAAGCCCCGGCUAACUUCGUGCCAGCAGCCGCGGUAAUACGAAGGGGGCUAGCGUUGUUCGGAUUUACUGGGCGUAAAGCGCACGUAGGCGGACUAUUAAGUCAGGGGUGAAAUCCCGGGGCUCAACCCCGGAACUGCCUUUGAUACUGGUAGUCUUGAGUUCGAGAGAGGUGAGUGGAAUUCCGAGUGUAGAGGUGAAAUUCGUAGAUAUUCGGAGGAACACCAGUGGCGAAGGCGGCUCACUGGCUCGAUACUGACGCUGAGGUGCGAAAGCGUGGGGAGCAAACAGGAUUAGAAACCCGGUAGUCCC